rnacentral:rRNA from 1 species
ACUCCUACGGGAGGCAGCAGUGGGGAAUAUUGCACAAUGGGGGAAACCCUGAUGCAGCCAUGUCGCGUGUGUGAAGAAGGCCUUCGGGUUGUAAAGCACUUUCAGUAGGGAGGAAGGUAGUGUAGUUAACACCUGCAUUAUUUGACGUUACCUACAGAAGAAGCACCGGCUAACUCCGUGCCAGCAGCCGCGGUAAUACGGAGGGUGCGAGCGUUAAUCGGAAUUACUGGGCGUAAAGCGCAUGCAGGCGGCCUGUUAAGUCAGAUGUGAAAGCCCGGGGCUUAACCUCGGAAUUGCAUUUGAAACUGGCAGGCUAGAGUCUUGUAGAGGGGUUAGAAUUUCAGGUGUAGCGGUGAAAUGCGUAGAGAUCUGAAGGAAUACCAGUGGCGAAGGCGGCCCCUGGACAAAGACUGACGCUCAGAUGCGAAAGCGUGGGAGCAAACAGGAUUAGAUACCCCUGGUAGACUGUCA